AACUUUUCAUUUUAAAAUGGUUUUAGAGUUACUGAAAACCAGAAAGAUGCUGAGACUCCAUAAAUCUCAGUCACUUCUUCUGUUAUUAAUAUCUCGGGUCUCUAUAGUACAUUUGUCAUAAUUAUUGAACCAAAGGUUGAUGCAUUAUUGCUAGAGUUGGUACUUUAUUUGAAUUUUUAAAAAGGGUUUACCUGUUUUUCUUUCCCGAGGUCUGUCUUGAGGUACUCCAUUUAAUUCAGUUGCCAUAUCUCUUUAGCCUCCUCUUGACUUGGACAUCAUGUAGAUGGCUUAAUAUUCUCUCAGCUUACCUACACUUUAGACAACUUUUUGAUUUCUAUUUUCAUAGAAAGUUUACUUUUAAAAAUUGACAUUCUAAAUUACUCCCCUACCCUUUGAAACAUUUUCAGUGUUCUUCAAUCUUCAUCCAGUUUUGAAAUUGAGGCAUGUCUUUUUUGAGGAUUAAGAUAUCAUCUAAGCCCAGAAGAAGGUAACAGCUCUAUCCUCCAGUCUCUCAUGAAGGCAGGGAUAGGGCCUAACUGUGAGUCACUGCAGUAGCAAACACAGAAGGCCUAGUAAAAGAGAAAAACAGCCAUAAACCCGCUCCGCUGUGCUGGACAUAUCCUGCCAGUCACCUUCCUCCCAGUGUCAUCUAGAACUGCCACUAACUGAGCGUCGGUGCUCAAACGCUCCCACCUGCUUUGCUUAAGUUGUACCAGUUUAGUUUUUCUCUCAUUGAGAUACUUUUGAGUAUUCUUCUUUGCAUAUUUUUUCGGUGCAGUUUUUGCUUUGGCCAGCAGCGUACUUUUCUUUCUGUUGUAUAGUCUUGGACUUUGAGAUGGUUUAACUUACACAUUUUAUAGAUUUCUCGUGAUUAGACUAAUGUAAAUUUUUGAGCAAAUAGCACAGAGAUAAAAUUCCAUUUUUGUUGCAUUUUAUCACAUAGAUCCCCACCUAUAUCGACACCUAUAUCGACAGGAUUCACCUUUAUUGAUUCCCCACCUCAUGGUUUAGUGACUUCUCUCAUUGUUGUGUUUGAAUACCCAGCAUGAGAGACUGAAGUGGGACAACACUGAUUUUGGCUCUAGUUGAGAGAGACAGUUCAUCGUUAUGUUUCUAGUCAACAGAGAAGGUUUCUUGGAUCUUUAAAAAGAAUGAGAACAUCUUGGGAAUUUGGGAUGCAAAACCUGUGAAAAGGUGAUAAUUUCUGUUGGAUAGCUUUAUGUCAACGUGACAGAAGCUAAAGUCAUGCAAGAGGGGAGAACGUCAGUUAAGAAAAUGCUUCCAUGAGACUGGACUACAAGCGAGCACGUAGUUUGUGUUCUUAAUGAUUGAUGGGAGAGGGCCCAAUUCACUGUGGGUGGUACCAUCCCUGGGCUUGUGGAGUUAAGCAAAGCCAUGGCGGAGAAAAUCAAUAAGCAUCACCUCUCUGUGGCCUCUGAAUCAGCUCCCGACUUCAGAUUCCUGACUUUCUUGAGUUCCUGCUCUGACUUCCUUUGAUGACGAACAGCGCUGUGCAAAUGUAAGCCAAAUAAACUCUUUCCUUCCCAAGCAGCUGUGGUCAUGGUUCUAUAUCAUAGCAAUAGUAACUACAACCAGGUCACAACUAAAAUUUUUAAGAGGAGGUAAGAAUUGUUGUGUAUAUACUCUUAGCUAGAUUGAAUAAAAAGGAGAUGUGUAAUAAUAUGGAUUUCACUUUUUAUUGUUGAUUUUUGGUAUGUUGAGACUGUGAUCUGAGUUUCUUUUGCAUCUCAUACAUAAAAUUA
rnacentral:sRNA from 1 species